rnacentral:pre_miRNA from 1 species
GGUAUAAUGCAGUAUGUUUGGUUUGAAUUUGAGGUGGUUUAAGCCACCUCAAAUUCAAACCAAACAUACUGCAUUAUACC